rnacentral:lncRNA from 1 species
GCCCUCCAGGUCUUGUAACGUACAUCUUGUCAGUUGAAAAAUGAGAAGGAGGUUUUGUUACCUUGUCUGCGCCUUGCAUCGAAUCAUUGUCGAACUUCCUUCUUCUUCUUUCUUCUCUCUUUCUCUUCUUUCUCUCUUUUCUUCUUCUUUUUUUUUUUUUUUGACGUCGUCCUAAGGUCGCCGGUGGCCCUUUUAUUCAUGUUGAAUUGUCAUUUGCCGAGCUCCUUAUCGGCUCUUAUGUCAUUCGAAGGUA